rnacentral:rRNA from 1 species
GGGUUGUAUUUAUUAGAUAAAGAACCAAUAUUUUUGGUGACUCAUAAUAACUUUACGGAUCACAUUAUGUGACAUAUCAUUCAAGUUUCUGACCUAUCAGCUUUAGACGGUAGGGUAUUGGCCUACCGUGGCUAUGACGGGUAACGGGGAAUUAGGGUUCGAUUCCGGAGAGGGAGCCUGAGAAACGGCUACCACAUCUAAGGAAGGCAGCAGGCGCGCAAAUUACCCAAUCCUAAUACAGGGAGGUAGUGACAAGAAAUAACAAUACAGGACCUUACGGUUUUGUAAUUGGAAUGAGUUAAGUAUAAACCCCUUAACAAGUAUCAAUUGGAGGGCAAGUCUGGUGCCAGCAGCCGCGGUAAUUCCAGCUCCAAUAGCGUAUAUUAAAGUUGUUGCAGUUAAAAAGCUCGUAGUUAAUUUUCUGUUAAUUUUUAUAUACAAUACUACGGUAUUUAUAUAAUAUUAACAUAAUUCAUAUUACUUUUUAGUAUAUGAAACUUUACUUUGAGAAAAUUAGAGUGCUUAAAGCAGGCUAUUGCCUUGAAUACUCCAGCAUGGAAUAAUAUUAAGGAUUUUUAUUCUUCUUAUUGGUUCUAGAAUAAAAAUAAUGAUUAAUAGGGACAGUUGGGGGCAUUUGUAUUUAACAGUCAGAGGUGAAAUUCUUAGAUUUGUUAAAGACAAACUACUGCGAAAGCAUUUGCCAAGGAUGUUUUCAUUAAUCAAGAACGAAAGUUAGGGGAUCGAAGACGAUCAGAUACCGUCGUAGUCUUAACCAUAAACUAUGCCAACUAGAGAUUGGAGGUUGUUCCUUACUCCUUUA